rnacentral:rRNA from 1 species
UACAGAGGUCUCAAGCGUUGUUCAGAUUCAUUGGGCGUAAGGGGUGCGUAGGUGGCGCCGUAAGUCGGGUGUGAAAUUUCGGAGCUUAACUCCGAAACUGCAUUCGAUACUGCGGUGCUUGAGGACUGGAGAGGAGACUGGAAUUCAUGGUGUAGCAGUGAAAUGCGUAGAGAUCAUGAGGAAGACCAGUGGCGAAGGCGGGUCUCUGGACAGUUCCUGACACCGAGGCACGAAGGCCAGGGGAGCAAACGGG